rnacentral:rRNA from 1 species
AAAGAUUAAGCCAUGCAUGUCUAAGUAUAAGCAAUUAUACAGCGAAACUGCGAAUGGCUCAUUAAAUCAGUUAUCGUUUAUUUGAUAUUACCUUACUACAUGGAUAACCGUGGUAAUUCUAGAGCUAAUACAUGCAAAAAAUCCCGACUUCGGAAGGGAUGUAUUUAUUAGAUUAAAAACCAAUGCCCUCCGGGGCUCACUGGUGAUUCAUAAUAACUUCUCGAAUCGCACGGCCUUGCGCCGGCGAUGGUUCAUUCAAAUUUCUGCCCUAUCAACUUUCGACGGCUGGGUCUUGGCCAGCCAUGGUGA